rnacentral:rRNA from 1 species
AGUGAACGCUGGCGGUAGGCCUAACACAUGCAAGUCGAACGGCAGCACAGAGGAGCUUGCUCCUUGGGUGGCGAGUGGCGGACGGGUGAGGAAUACAUCGGAAUCUACUCUGUCGUGGGGGAUAACGUAGGGAAACUUACGCUAAUACCGCAUACGACCUACGGGUGAAAGCAGGGGAUCUUCGGACCUUGCGCGAUUGAAUGAGCCGAUGUCGGAUUAGCUAGUUGGCGGGGUAAAGGCCCACCAAGGCGACGAUCCGUAGCUGGUCUGAGGGGAAGAUCAGCAACACUGGAACUGAGACACGGUCCAGACUCCUACGGGAGGCAGCAGUGGGGAAUAUUGGACAAUGGGCGCAAGCCUGAGCCAGCCAUACCGCGUGGGUGAAGAAGGCCUUCGGGUUGUAAAGCCCUUUUGUUGGGAAAGAAAUCCAUCUGGUUAAUACCCGGGUGGGAUGACGGUACCCAAAGAAUAAGCACCGGCUAACUUCGUGCCAGCCGCCGCCGUAA